rnacentral:rRNA from 1 species
UGAGUAACACGUAUCCAACCUGCCGUCUACUCUUGGCCAGCCUUCUGAAAGGAAGAUUAAUACAAGAUGGCAUCAUGAGUCCGCAUGUUCACAUGAUUAAAGGUAUUCCGGUAGACGAUAGGGAUGCGUUCCAUUAGAUAGUAGGCGGGGUAACGGCCCACCUAGUCUUCGAUGGAUAGGGGUUCUGAGAGGAAGGUCCCCCACAUUGGAACUGAGACACGGUCCAA